AGGACGAACGCUGGCGGCGUGCUUAACACAUGCAAGUCACGGGGGUCCCGCAAGGGAUAACCGGCGAACGGGUGCGUAACACGUGAACAACCUGCCCUCGUGUGGGGGAUAGCCGGGCUAACGCCCGGGUAAUACCGCAUACGUUCUCUUUGGGGAGUCCCGAGGAGAGGAAAGCUCCGGCGCACGGGGGAGGGUUCGCGGCCUAUCAGCUAGUUGGCGGGUAAUGGCCCACAAGGCGACGACGGGUAGCUGGUCUGAGAGGAUGGCCAGCCACAUUGGGACUGAGACGACGGCCCAGACUCCGACGGGAGGCAGCAGGUGGGAAUCGUUAGCGACAAGUGGUACCUAAACGGCUGACGCGAGCGACGCCGCGGUGUGGGACGGUACCGUCCGUUUCGGGGUAGUAACCC
rnacentral:rRNA from 1 species